GUGACUCAUGUUAGCGUUUGUUUAGGAUUUUAGCUUUCUUCACUUCAAUCUAGAAAUAUAGUGCAUCUGGAAUGGAGUGUUAUUGAAUAAAAUCAUCGAGGAAACGGGUUGCCUAUUUGUUCUGUCAAGCGGCAUGUGUAUAAGUGACGUCUAUCAUUUGCUUGGUAAGGAUGGGUAAAUCCGGCAUGCAACUGACAUGACUGAACUUCGGACAAAAUUUCACUUGGCAGCAAAUUAUAAUUAUUCAUUAAUGUUCGGCAGAACAGAGAGGUCGGGCACAAAGCAAAACAAGAUGAAGAUGUGAUCGAAAGUGUUAUAGACGAAAACAUUUCGCUGAGGGAGUAUCAAAAGGAGCUGGCUGAAGAAGGAAUGAAAGGUACAAACGUUGUUGUAAUGGCGCCUACAAACACCGGCAAGACUAGAGUGGCUUGUAAAAUAGUGCAGGAACUCUUGCGAAAAAAGAAGGACGGAAAAGUGAUAUUUUUAGUUGAAAAUGAAGCCUUAGCCUUCCAGCAAGGAAAGGUGUUUAGUAAACUUCUCCCUGCUUAUAUGACUAAAGUAAUCAGCGGGAGUGUCUUACAUGUAAGAGAGAAAAAGCAGUAUUUGAAGGACUUCAUACAUAUGUAAGGCAAAUCAACUUCGUCAAAUUUUGUUUUGAACCUUGUACUACGUGUCACGUUUGGUUGUGUAAAAGUUGGUAAGGAAGAUUUCAUCAGGAGUCACCCACUGCCAAAAUAAAGGCAAAAAAAAAGACAUAAAAAGUGAUACAAUAAUGGCUUUCAUUUGAUAUGCUGAGCAGAGUGUCAAUUAUAUUAAUGCCUAUUUAAAACUUGUAAGAUCUAUUCUGUUUAUAUUCGUUGUCAAUUCAAAUUAAAUUUUAGGUGUUA
rnacentral:lncRNA from 1 species